CAUCAAUAGAAAUAUUUGUAAAAGAACAUUAAGCUUGAUGGCCAGUGUUCUUUAUAAUAAUACAUUUUUAUUACGUGGUAUGAAAUGAUUCAAAAAACAUGUAUAAAUAAUAGGAAGUAGAGCUGGCCUGUUAUAUGUUAGGAGAAGGAGGAACGAAACGUAAUUGGUGGUUAUCUGCCCCAGCUAGUGUGGCCCCGUCCUUUUUCUAUUAGUAAUAAAAAUUUUACUAUACCAUAUGAAAUUGCACAACAAUUGAACAUCUAGAAUGAAAAAGGGCAUGCUGAAGAUGACCGUUACUUCAGACGUGGAGUUGUCAUCUUGAAUGAGAACGGGAUGUUGGUGACUUCCAUAUGCAUACACAUCUUGCAAGAGCAGAGGGCACUUGGAUAGGUCCUAUAAUCUGUAGAAAUAAGUACGAUACAAAAACAUUGGAAAAGUUGAG